rnacentral:rRNA from 1 species
GAUCCUGGCUCAGGACGAACGCUGGCGGCGUGCUUCAUACAUGCAAGUCGAACGCGAAUCGGUAGCUUGCUACCGAGGAAAGUGGCGGACGGGUGAGUAAUGUGUAGAGAAUCUGCCCUAGAGCGGGGGACAACAGCUGGAAACGGUUGCUAAUACCCCAUAUGAGCGUAUCUGAAAUGGUAUUCUUGAAAACUCCGGUGCUCUAGGAUGAGUCUGCAUCUGAUUAGCUAGG